GUGUCCAGUAGCUCGUGUCUUGCGGUCUGUCCACUGUGGGGUUUUCUUUGCCCUUUUUCCUCGGAAAUUCAGUCCUCCAUCCCUGCGCUUUAGCCCUGUGUCACGGGGAAUGGCUGCUGUGUUUAGGACCCUCUGGGUAUGUUAAAGAAGGUGCAGUUCAGUAAUUACACGGUUCAGGCAACGGCGGCUGCUCAGGGUGGAAGGAAAAAAGCAAGCAGUUUCAGUUACCUGCUCACAGUCAAUUACAGUCUGAAAGCAGAGAAUCCUCCUCUGACACAGUCAGAAAGUCCAUAGUAGGCUCCAUCAUGCCUACGCGUCAUUCACCUCACUUCAUCUAAUCAGGUAUCUUGACAAAGGAACCAGGUUCUACUACUUUUAUAUCCACAGGGUCUCAGCACUUAAUGAGUAUCUGUCCGAAGGAUGGCCGAAUACAUGGAGAGAGAAACUACGGAGCAAAGCAAUCAGUGAUUUGUUCCAGCCCACUCAGGAAGUUAGUUGCAGAGUUAGGAUGGAGCCCUGGAAUCUGGGGCUAUUUUUUAAUCCAUAAAUCUGCUGUGUCUACAUAGAUGGGGUUUUGUUGGGGAUUUUGAUUUUCAAUAAAUGCUCUAAAAUUAUGCUAGGUCAGGUAGAAUGUGGUGACACUAGAGGCAGAGGGACACUGAAAUCACAGCAUAAUGAUGAACAGCAUUUUAGGAACAGUGAAUUUUAGGAAUAGUGAUGUGGCUCAGAAAGACUUCUUAUGAUAAAGAAAAAGACUCUGAGUUAUUUUAUCCAAAGCACCUUGGACUACCAACCAUUUAGGAGACCGAGCCCUAAGCCUUUUCUAACCUCACCGCCUUCCCAGGGUGUACAAAAGGCAAGAUGCUGUGAAGGUGUCGAUAACACCCAAUAGAAGCCUCCAUCAUUCAUUUUCUCUUUGUAACAAUUUACCUGGAAAUUUUAUCUUGAAGGAUGAAGGUUUUUUUAAUUAAAAAAUUUCAGUGUCAGAGGUCCUAGCCACAGCAAUUAGACAAAACAAAGAAAUACAAGGAAUCCUGACUGGUAAAGAAUAAAUUAAACUGUCACUAUUUGCAGAUGACAUGAUACUGUACAUAAAAAUCUCUAAAGACUCCACUCCAAACUACUAGAACUAAUAUUGGAAUUCAGCAAAGUUGGAGGAUACAAAAUUAAUACACAGAAAUCUGUGGCUUUCCUAUACACUAACAAUGUACUAAUAGAAAGAGAAAUUAGGAAAACAAUUCCAUUCACAAUUGCAUCAAAAAGAAUAAAAUAUCUAGGAAUAAACCUAACCAAGGAAGUGAAAGACCUAUACCCUGAAAACUAUAAGACACUCAAGAGAAAUUAAAGAAGAUACUAACAAAUGGAAACUCAUCCCAUGCUCUUGGCUAGGAAGAAUUAAUAUCAUCAAAAUGGCCAUCCUGCCCAAAGCAAUAUACAGAUUCGAUGCAAUCCCUAUCAAAUUACCUGCAGCAUUCUUCAAUGAACUGGAACAAAUAGUUCAAAAAUUCAUAUGGAAACAACAAAGACCCCGAAUAGCCAAAGCAAACCUGAGAAGGAAGAAUAAAGUGGGGAGGAUCUCACUCCCCAACUUCAAGCUCUACUACAAAGCCACAGUAAUCAAGACAAUUUGGUACUGGCACAAGAACAGAGCCACAGACCAGUGGAACAGAAUAGAGACUCCAGACAUUAACCCAAACAUAUACGGUCAAUUAAUAUAUGAUAAAGGGGCCAUGGACAUACAAUGGGGAAAUGAAAGUCUCUUCAACAGUUGGUGCUGGCAAAACUGGACAGCUA